rnacentral:rRNA from 1 species
UACGGGGGGGGCAAGCGUUGUUCGGAAUUACUGGGCGUAAAGGGUUUGUAGGUGGCCGACUAAGUCAGACGUGAAAUCCCUCAGCUUAACUGGGGAACUGCGUCUGGGACUGGUCGGCUUGAGGGCCGGAGAGGAACGCGGAAUUCCAGGUGUAGCGGUGAAAUGCGUAGAUAUCUGGAGGAACACCGGUGGCGAAGGCGGCGUUCUGGACGGCAUCUGACACUGAGAAACGAAAGCCAGGGGAGCAAACGGG